rnacentral:rRNA from 1 species
GCUUGCUUGUUGGGGUUGUAGGACACUCUAUACGGAGUUACAAAGGACGACAUUAGACGAAUCAUCUGGAAAGAUGAAUCAAAGAAGGUAAUAAUCCUGUAGUCGAAAAUGUUGUCUCUCUUGAGUGGAUCCUGAGUACGACGGAGCACGUGAAAUUCCGUCGGAAUCUGGGAGGACCAUCUCCUAAGGCUAAAUACUCUCUAGUGACCGAUAGUGAACCAGUACCGUGAGGGAAAGGUGAAAAGCACCCCGGAAGGGGAGUGAAAUAGAACCUGAAACCGUGUGCUUACAAGUAGUCAGAGCCCGUUAAUGGGUGAUGGCGUGCCUUUUGUAGAAUGAACCGGCGAGUUACGAUUUGAUGCAAGGUUAAGCAGUAAAUGUGGAGCCGUAGCGAAAGCGAGUCUGAAUAGGGCGUUUAGUAUUUGGUCGUAGACCCGAAACCAGGUGAUCUACCCUUGGUCAGGUUGAAGUUCAGGUAACACUGAAUGGAGGACCGAACCGACUUACGUUGAAAAGUGAGCGGAUGAACUGAGGGUAGCGGAGAAAUUCCAAUCGAACCUGGAGAUAGCUGGUUCUCUCCGAAAUAGCUUUAGGGCUAGCCUCAAGUGAUGAUUAUUGGAGGUAGAGCACUGUUUGGACGAGGGGCCCCUCUCGGGUUACCGAAUUCAGACAAACUCCGAAUGCCAAUUAAUUUAACUUGGGAGUCAGAACAUGGGUGAUAAGGUCCGUGUUCGAAAGGGAAACAGCCCAGACCACCAGCUAAGGUCCCAAAAUAUAUGUUAAGUGGAAAAGGAUGUGGCGUUGCCCAGACAACUAGGAUGUUGGCUUAGAAGCAGCCAUCAUUUAAAGAGUGCGUAAUAGCUCACUAGUCGAGUGACACUGCGCCGAAAAUGUACCGGGGCUAAACAUAUUACCGAAGCUGUGGAUUGUCCUUUGGACAAUGGUAGGAGAGCGUUCUAAGGGCGUUGAAGCAUGAUCGUAAGGACAUGUGGAGCGCUUAGAAGUGAGAAUGCCGGUGUGAGUAGCGAAAGACGGGUGAGAAUCCCGUCCACCGAUUGACUAAGGUUUCCAGAGGAAGGCUCGUCCGCUCUGGGUUAGUCGGGUCCUAAGCUGAGGCCGACAGGCGUAGGCGAUGGAUAACAGGUUGAUAUUCCUGUACCACCUAUAAUCGUUUUAAUCGAUGGGGGGACGCAGUAGGAUAGGCGAAGCGUGCGAUUGGAUUGCACGUCUAAGCAGUAAGGCUGAGUAUUAGGCAAAUCCGGUACUCGUUAAGGCUGAGCUGUGAUGGGGAGAAGACAUUGUGUCUUCGAGUCGUUGAUUUCACACUGCCGAGAAAAGCCUCUAGAUAGAAAAUAGGUGCCCGUACCGCAAACCGACACAGGUAGUCAAGAUGAGAAUUCUAAGGUGAGCGAGCGAACUCUCGUUAAGGAACUCGGCAAAAUGACCCCGUAACUUCGGGAGAAGGGGUGCUCUUUAGGGUUAACGCCCAGAAGAGCCGCAGUGAAUAGGCCCAAGCGACUGUUUAUCAAAAACACAGGUCUCUGCUAAACCGUAAGGUGAUGUAUAGGGGCUGACGCCUGCCCGGUGCUGGAAGGUUAAGAGGAGUGGUUAGCUUCUGCGAAGCUACGAAUCGAAGCCCCAGUAAACGGCGGCCGUAACUAUAACGGUCCUAAGGUAGCGAAAUUCCUUGUCGGGUAAGUUCCGACCCGCACGAAAGGCGUAACGAUUUGGGCACUGUCUCAACGAGAGACUCGGUGAAAUCAUAGUACCUGUGAAGAUGCAGGUUACCCGCGACAGGACGGAAAGACCCCGUGGAGCUUUACUGUAGCCUGAUAUUGAAAUUCGGCACAGCUUGUACAGGAUAGGUAGGAGCCUUUGAAACGUGAGCGCUAGCUUACGUGGAGGCGCUGGUGGGAUACUACCCUAGCUGUGUUGGCUUUCUAACCCGCACCACUUAUCGUGGUGGGAGACAGUGUCAGGCGGGCAGUUUGACUGGGGCGGUCGCCUCCUAAAAGGUAACGGAGGCGCUCAAAGGUUCCCUCAGAAUGGUUGGAAAUCAUUCA